ACGCUCUCUUUAUAUGGAAAUCUCGUAAUGGAAUAGAAGAGAUUGCUGAAUUGUAAAAUUAAAAUAAAAAACAUUUGAAACGGCUAAAAAACAAAUAAAAAGAACGGACAUACUUCGCCUGUGGGCGCAGACAAUGUUGUAGGUGGGAAAUUGGGAAGGUAGGAAAUAGACGAAAUUUAAUGUACAUCUGUUAAUAACGAUAAACCGUUGCUAACGAAUAAACGAUUCUAAGCGGAGUUUAGUUGAUAAUGUUGCUUUGUCAACAAUAAAAUAUAUGUUACUAUGCCAUAUUAUGGUAGAAUGAUUAA